GGGGAAUAUUGCGCAAUGGGGGAAACCCUGACGCAGCAAUACCGCGUGAGUGAAGAAGGUUUUCGGAUCGUAAAGCUCUGUUAUUGGGGAAGAAAAAAAGACGGUACCGCAAGAAUAAGCCCCGGCUAACUUCGUGCCAGCAGCCGCGGUAAUACGAAGGGGGCUAGCGUUGCUCGGAAUCACUGGGCGUAAAGGGUGCGUAGGCGGGUUUCUAAGUCAGAGGUGAAAGCCUGGAGCUCAACUCCAGAACUGCCUUUGAUACUGGAAGUCUUGAGUUCGGGAGAGGUGAGUGGAACUGCGAGUGUAGAGGUGAAAUUCGUAGAUAUUCGCAAGAACACCAGUGGCGAAGGCGGCUCACUGUCCCGAUCCUGACGCUGAGGCACGAAAGCGUGGGGAGCAAACA
rnacentral:rRNA from 1 species